UCUGGGCCUCCCUGAAAUUGCAAGACCCUCCUAGAAGACCUCCCUCUUCGUCAUCCAUUCCCACUACUCGUUGGACCUUAACACUGAGAUGAUCUUCUCGUACACCAGUGUCUCCUUACUAUAUAGCAGCAUCGUCACCAAUAGAUCGAAGCUUCCGGAUAGCAAACAUAAUAGCAGUAAGCUUUUGUCCUCCUCUUCAAGCUCCACCCC
rnacentral:lncRNA from 1 species